GCGUGCGGCGUGCUAUACAUGCAAGUCGAGCGAAUGGAUUAAGAGCUUGCUCUUAUGAAGUUAGCGGCGGACGGGUGAGUAACACGUGGGUAACCUGCCCAUAAGACUGGGAUAACUCCGGGAAACCGGGGCUAAUACCGGAUAACAUUUUGAACCGCAUGGUUCGAAAUUGAAAGGCGGCUUCGGCUGUCACUUAUGGAUGGACCCGCGUCGCAUUAGCUAGUUGGUGAGGUAACGGCUCACCAAGGCAACGAUGCGUAGCCGACCUGAGAGGGUGAUCGGCCACACUGGGACUGAGACACGGCCCAGACUCCUACGGGAGGCAGCAGUAGGGAAUCUUCCGCAAUGGACGAAAGUCUGACGGAGCAACGCCGCGUGAGUGAUGAAGGCUUUCGGGUCGUAAAACUCUGUUGUUAGGGAAGAACAAGUGCUAGUUGAAUAAGCUGGCACCUUGACGGUACCUAACCAGAAAGCCACGGCUAACUACGUGCCAGCAGCCGCGGUAAUACGUAGGUGGCAAGCGUUAUCCGGAAUUAUUGGGCGUAAAGCGCGCGCAGGUGGUUUCUUAAGUCUGAUGUGAAAGCCCACGGCUCAACCGUGGAGGGUCAUUGGAAACUGGGAGACUUGAGUGCAGAAGAGGAAAGUGGAAUUCCAUGUGUAGCGGUGAAAUGCGUAGAGAUAUGGAGGAACACCAGUGGCGAAGGCGACUUUCUGGUCUGUAACUGACACUGAGGCGCGAAAGCUGACCUGC
rnacentral:rRNA from 1 species